AUGAACGCUGGCGGCGUGCCUAACACAUGCAAGUCGAGCGGAGGUGUGGAGUAGUUUACUAUGAAGCAUCUUAGCGGCGGACGGGUGAGUAACGCGUGGGCAACCUGCCCUAUGCAGGGGGAUAACAUAUCGAAAGGUGUGCUAAAACCGCAUAAAGCUUAAGAAUCGCAUGAUUUUCAAGCCAAAGAUUUAUCGGCAUAGGAUGGGCCCGCGUCUGGAUUAGCUAGUUGGUGAGGUAAAGGCUCACCAAGGCGACGAUCAGUAGCCG
rnacentral:rRNA from 1 species